UCAAGCUACCGGCCGUGAGAACAAAAAACAUGGCGGACAUUCUCUCAUUUUUAAUGGAAAAAUCUAUAUUUUGAAUUUUCCAGAUCUCGCCAGAAUAAUGUGAAACUGAUACGUUUUGGUUGCUAUGGACACUGCCAGGGCUCGUCACAUGACGUCUUUUAAAGACUUUAUUAAAACCGCGUUCAGCUACAGGUAAAACAACAUUCAGAGGUGAUUUUAACAACGCUCCACGGCGCGUGAGAGUAAGCAUUUUAAGCGUUUUCUGAUCAUGUAGGUAAGUGCUUUUAUUAGACGUGAUGCAUGCUGGGUGGGAAAUUAUUUUUUAUCAAAGACUCGUUGAUGGUAAUUAAUAUAGAUAUGAAUAUACAUUUUGCAACCCUGUAUCACAUGAAAUACGUUCUGAGGAAACUAUUUUGCAAAUCGCAAUUACGUUACAUGCCAACAUAUAAGCAGUGCUAUUACGUUGGUCCUUAACCUAAUAUGACCCGUCGCCAUGGACACAAGGGGUCGGAUAUCUAAAGUUAAAUAUUUUUAACUUACGCGUGAAAUGGUUGAUUUUAAAAAUAUAUAUAUUCUAAGUAAACAACAACAGCCCAGGUUUAGUAAACAUUUUUUUAUUGAAACUAUAAAUAAAUAUUCUGCAUCCAUUUUAGGUGUGCCACUGUGGGUGGCUCCCGCACACCCCCGUGGCUACGCCCCUGCCGUGACCCAAAUCUCGUUCUCACAUCAUCGCGAUGUUUAUCAUCUAUUUACAAACAUAGCCAGUCGCCACAUCUUUUUUCUUCACAUACAUCUCAUACUCCUCCAUCUACACGCUCCACAACAUUUAAACCAACAGCUCUUUUAAGAGCUAUCACUUGCAAAAGCUCUCCUCACUCACUCACUCACUCACUCACUCACUCACUCACUCUCCAACUCACUCUCCAACUCACUCACUCACUCACUCACUCACUCACUCACUCACUCACUCAC